AUGCAAGUCGAGCGGAACGAGUUAUCUGAACCUUCGGGGAACGAUAACGGCGUCGAGCGGCGGACGGGUGAGUAAUGCCUAGGAAAUUGCCCUGAUGUGGGGGAUAACCAUUGGAAACGAUGGCUAAUACCGCAUAAUACCUACGGGUCAAAGAGGGGGACCUUCGGGCCUCUCGCGUCAGGAUAUGCCUAGGUGGGAUUAGCUAGUUGGUGAGGUAAUGGCUCACCAAGGCGACGAUCCCUAGCUGGUCUGAGAGGAUGAUCAGCCACACUGGAACUGAGACACGGUCCAGACUCCUACGGGAGGCAGCAGUGGGGAAUAUUGCACAAUGGGCGCAAGCCUGAUGCAGCCAUGCCGCGUGUGUGAAGAAGGCCUUCGGGUUGUAAAGCACUUUCAGUCGUGAGGAAGGUAGUGUAGUUAAUAGCUGCAUUAUUUGACGUUAGCGACAGAAGAAGCACCGGCUAACUCCGUGCCAGCAGCCGCGGUAAUACGGAGGGUGCGAGCGUUAAUCGGAAUUACUGGGCGUAAAGCGCAUGCAGGUGGUUUGUUAAGUCAGAUGUGAAAGCCCGGGGCUCAACCUCGGAAUAGCAUUUGAAACUGGCAGACUAGAGUACUGUAGAGGGGGGUAGAAUUUCAGGUGUAGCGGUGAAAUGCGUAGAGAUCUGAAGGAAUACCGGUGGCGAAGGCGGCCCCCUGGACAGAUACUGACACUCAGAUGCGAAAGCGUGGGGAGCAAACAGGAUUAGAUACCCUGGUAGUCCACGCCGUAAACGAUGUCUACUUGGAGGUUGUGGCCUUGAGCCGUGGCUUUCGGAGCUAACGCGUUAAGUAGACCGCCUGGGGAGUACGGUCGCAAGAUUAAAACUCAAAUGAAUUGACGGGGGCCCGCACAAGCGGUGGAGCAUGUGGUUU
rnacentral:rRNA from 1 species